rnacentral:rRNA from 1 species
UAAGCUAGAGUANGUCAGAGGGGGGUAGAAUUCCACGUGUAGCAGUGAAAUGCGUAGAGAUGUGGAGGAAUACCGAUGGCGAAGGCAGCCCCCUGGGAUAAUACUGACGUUCAUGCUCGAAAGCGUGGGUAGCAAACAGGAUUAGAUACCCUGGUAGUCCACGCCCUAAACGAUGUCAAUUAGCUGUUGGGGCACUUGAUGCCUUAGUAGCGAAGCUAACGCGUGAAAUUGACCGCCUGGGGAGUACGGUCGCAAGAUUAAAACUCAAAGGAAUUGACGGGGACCCGCACAAGCGGUGGAUGAUGUGGAUUAAUUCGAUGCAACGCGAAGAACCUUACCUGGUCUUGACAUGUACGGAAUCUUCCAGAGACGGAAGAGUGCCUUCGGGAGCCGUAACACAGGUGCUGCAUGGCUGUCGUCAGCUCGUGUCGUGAGAUGUUGGGUUAAGUCCCGCAACGAGCGCAACCCUUGUCAUUAGUUGCCACCAUUCAGUUGGGCACUCUAAUGAGACUGCCGGUGACAAACCGGAGGAAGGUGGGGAUGACGCCAAGUCCUCAUGGCCCUUAUGACCAGGGCUUCACACGUCAUACAAUGGUCGGUACAGAGGGUAGCCAAGCCGCGAGGUGGAGCCAAUCUCAGAAAACCGAUCGUAGUCCGGAUUGCACUCUGCAACUCGAGUGCAUGAAGUCGGAAUCGCUAGUAAUCGCAGGUCAGCAUACUGCGGUGAAUACGUUCCCGGGUCUUGUACACACCGCCCGUCACACCAUGGGAGUGGGGGAUACCAGAAG